AAAGAAUUAGUUAAAUUUUAACAUCAGCAUGUCAUCCUGAAAUUAUUAGUAAUAAUCCUAAUAUUCUUUU
rnacentral:tRNA from 1 species